GGCUACGGCCAUGCCACCCUGAACGCACUGAUCUCAUCAGAUCCUUGAAACUUAAGAGGGUCGGGCCUAGAGUACUUGAUGAACGACAGAUCUUCAGAAGAGACUGCUCGAAGACA
rnacentral:rRNA from 1 species